ensembl:lncRNA
CAGGCUCGAGGCGGAAGCGAAGAGCUGCGGCUGUGGUUAGGGAGACCGCAGGGCAGAGUGGCCCCGGGGCAGAGGGGCCGGGGUCUGAGGCGCUUUCUCGGGGACGCGAGGUACCCGGGGGUGGCAGAGGCUUCCGAGGAAAGGCUGCGCGUGACGUUACAGCGUUACCAUAGCUGCCGUUAAGGCGGGAAACGAUGAACUCGGGCUCCUGACCCCGAGCCACCCCGAGGAAUCGUCUGAGCAUCCCGGGAUGAGGAAGGUGCGUGCAGAGUUUUAAGAUUUCGGGCUCUGGAGUGACCUCUGUAUCCCUGGCAGCACCUUCUGGCCUUCUGACCUGUUACACAAAUGGCCCAAGUCCCCUGAACCUCGGCUUUGUCGCUGCACGACGCGGAUCCUAAUAGUAUAUAGUCUUUAAGAUGGUUGAGAGAAUUAAAAGAUGUCUCUGCAGUAGGUAGCCAGCCAGAAGCCUGCCACGGCUAAGAACUAAGUUAACAUCUGUGCCCUGGUUAGGAGGGCAGUGGUCAGCAGCUCUCUCUUCGUCUGGUUUUGGUGUUGGAUUUCUGCAAGUAACAGUGCACUGAAGGAGAGAGAUUCCGUUUCUGAAAAAGGAGAGAGAAAUAGGUAACUUGGUUCUAGGAGGGUAGUUUCUCUAUCUUCAGUGAUAAGGUUGUAGGUGGGUCAUCUGAGUAGAUGCUCUUUCAAAGCCUUGAUGAAUUUACUGCAAUAGAUAAAGACCUAGCUUUCUGUAGACAAAAUCCUAGCCUAAAAUGCAGGAUACACUCAGUUGACACAGAGCUAUCUUUCUAAAAGCAAAAUAGAUUUCAAAGCCUAAGGAUAGGCAAAGGAUAUGAAUAGAGUUUUUCCAAAGAAAAUAUACAAGAAGAGUGCAAAGAGAAGAGGUGUACAUCAUUAGCCGUAAGAGAAAUAUAACUUAAAAUCUCCUUUAGAUAUCACUUCAUGCUCCUUGAGGUGGCCCCAGUCAAAAAUACAGAUAAGAGAUAACACCGAAAUGAGAGUGUAGGGAAACUGGAAGCCUAGUAUAUGCCAUGGAUGGAAAUGGAAAAUGGUGGAGCUGUCUUUGGAAACAGUCUGGCAGGUUUUCAGAAAGUUAAGGGGCUGUCACAUGACUCAGCCAUUCCACUCCUAAAUGGAGAAAUGAAGACAUACUAACUCACCAAUAGGAUAGGUGGUGACAAGACAGGCCUUGUUUGCUUCUUGCUUGAGGGAGGCCUCCUGCUUAGAAAGGGGCCCCCAGAAAAGGUGGAUGCUCAGGUACUUCAGGAGCUGGGCUCCCUGGGAGGGCAGGGGAGGCACUGCUCAUGCCUCAGGGCUCCUGGGUGGCUGUGUGGGUGUGGGUGUGUGUGUUCAGGGCCACAAUGUAAUGAUAAGCAGUGGCUUCACCUGCCCUCUCUGGAAGCUUAGUAAAGUUGGCUGUUGUCACAGUAGGCAGCUCUGGUGUUGGGAACCAAGGAUAUUUCUGGAAGUUAAGCCCCUUUCCUUUGCCUGUGGCUUCAUGGCAGUGCCAAAUCAGGUCAGAGACAGAAAUUGCACCAGUAGAAUUUAGCAUAGAGAUGAACACAUACAGAGUUGUUACCCAGGUCAUAGAAAAGGCAAAAAAAGAACUCUUAAGGUGUCACCCAGGCAGCAGCUUCCGGAAGCGCUCCUGCGUCUGUGCCUGGGGGACAGGGACGACUUCCGGAUGAUCACAGUGUAGAAACCAGGAGGAACUGCCAUUCUACCAGUGCUCUGGUCUCAAUGCCCACCCGACCAAGCGAGAACAUCAGUUGUUAGGAAAGCUGCAUGCGGCCUCUGCCGCUGCUAAUGGGGUGAAGAAGCAGUGGAGGGAGGUGCCCUGAAGCCGCAGGUGGGAGGAAGGAAGGAAGUAAGGAGCCUGGGAGCCCCUCCCCUCCACCCUCAGGCAUCGCUGUCCCUUCUUGGCAGAGCAGAGCAGUGGGCAUGGGGAGCCUGCUAAUGUGGUUUGCAGACUCCUGACGAUAGCACUGCAGGCCCAGGAUCAGGAUCUCCACCCCAGGGCUGAUUCUAUCCGGGAGCCUGGAGAUAUCAGAAGUGGAAGAGAGAAGUUCAGGAAUGCAAGAAAAGGAAACGCAGCAGGAGAAUGCACUAGAGUUAACUCUGUUCCCUGCUGUGGCCUUCCACCUCUUUAAUCAGCAGACUCUGAUGUUCGGGGAAGCAGUACAGGCAGCCCAGGAGAUGAGUCACGAGUGCCUCCCUCCAGUCCGUCAGAGAAUCUCAAUCACACUUGCUUUGAGUUUCUGACAGCCAGGGAGGCCCUGUGACCCAGUUCUGGUCCCAGAGAGAGAAUGAGAAGCUCUCGCUCGGGCAAGAUGGCUGGGAAUAAUCUCCUUUAGCACUGAAGCUGGGCAUGCAUGGGCAGGGCUCUGGGCCUUUCCCCUACUUUUCCUCCCCAGGAAGCAGCGCUGAGCCCUCUCACAGCUGUGAAAUGAUGAAACAAGCUGCUGAGGGAGGCAGGGUGUGAAAAGAGAGCCCAGGUUCUGAAUGAAAUUGCUGGGGCACCACUGGAGCUUGGCUGCAAGUGGACUGUUCUGCUCAAGCCGCUUCCUGGGUUUCCCACUCAUUGCGUCCCAGAUAAUACAGUCACAAGUGGGAACUGGAAGCUGAGGGUCCUGCCCCAGAGCUUGCUGAGGAAGACAGUGUGGAGAAGCAGCCCAGAUUGUUCCAGAUGGCCGAGACGCAUAUUGCAUCUCACAAAAGUAGCACAGACUCAGUAGGGUGGCUGUUUCCCCUAGGACGUCAGUCCACAGUGGUUUAAAUGACAUGCAAAUAAAAGAGGCAAUUUUGUGCAGACUAGCUUCCUGUCUUGUUUCUUGGCUGUUGAAUGUGUACCCAGUUCCUUUGCUGAUGUCAGAAUGUCCACAUCAGGAAAGCAUUCCUUUCCGGGUUUCCUCCUUCUCAGAAUCUUGAAGCCUGAUGAAGAAUACGGUAAGAUGUUCCAAGUGUCGCAGGAAACAAAUCCUAUUAGGCAGUACCGGUUG